rnacentral:rRNA from 1 species
UACGAAGGGGGCUAGCGUUGCUCGGAAUCACUGGGCGUAAAGCGCACGUAGGCGGAUUGCUAAGUCAGGGGUGAAAUCCUGGAGCUCAACUCCAGAACUGCCUUUGAUACUGGCGAUCUUGAGUCCGGGAGAGGUGAGUGGAACUGCGAGUGUAGAGGUGAAAUUCGUAGAUAUUCGCAAGAACACCAGUGGCGAAGGCGGCUCACUGGACUGGUAUUGACGCUGAGGUGCGAAAGCGUGGGGAGCAAACAGG